rnacentral:rRNA from 1 species
AGAUUAAGUUAUUAAGGGCGCACGGUGGAUGCCUUGGCACUAGAAGCCGAUGAAGGACGUUACUAACGACGAUAUGCUUUGGGUAGCUGU